ACGCUCGACACCUACGGGAGCAGCAGUUGGGAAUAUUGGACAAUGGAGGAAACUCUGAUCCAGUGACGCCGCGUGAAGGAAGAAGGUCUUCGGAUUGUAAACUUAUUUUGUCAGGGAAGAAAAAUGACUGUACCUGAAGAAAAAGCACCGGCUAACUACGUGCCAGAGCCGCCGGUAAGUACUGAGGCGGGCGUGGCGAAGGACG
rnacentral:rRNA from 1 species